CAGAAUCAAAAACUGCAGCAGCUACAAUGAGGGUAAAAACUAGAAAGAAGGAUUUAUUAUGUUCCUUAGUUUAUUCAGCCACGAAAGAGUGACUUAAAAAAAUGUACACUUCUUCCAAAGUGAAAAUUAUGGGAUGUCUUACUUAUGGAAUGCUCCUACACACUGAGGUUGUUCUUGCUGACCCCUCGUUUCUAUGAGAAGUUUAUUAUAACAUACCAAGUCGAUAGUUUACUGCAAACAAAAUGGAUAAUAAACCUGAUGUUUCAACAAAACUACAGGAACUCACGCAUGAUGUACCCAAAGGUAACUGGUUCUUGACACACUACAAAUCUGUGGUAGUCCUUUUCCAUCUUGAAGACGAAUCAACGCUGUGUUUAGAAUCAGCUGUUCCCAACAUGCGAAUUGCGCACAGAAAACGGAGCGCUCCAUUAGAGCGUGCUUAAUUAAGUAUUAGCUUUUUUUUUCAAAAAUGGGUCCAUAUGAUUUUUUGAAGCAACUUUUGUAUAGAAACCUUUUGCAAAAAACACACCGUAUAGCAGUUUGAGAAGCUUGCGCGCGGAAUACGAUGGAGAUGGGUUGGGAACCCUGGAUUCCAAACACAGACCAAGUCUAUCCAAAAUGUUUAGACAAGAAAAUACGUAACAAGUUGGUUUACAGAAAUACGAAUUAGAUCAAUCCUGCACUACAAGCAGAGUAAAAUGGUGAUUUCUCUUAAAUCUCUCGAAUGGUGAUUUAAGAAUUCAGUGCAAACCUAAUCCUUGCUAUAAUCAAAUGUUCGGUACCGCAUCAGAGGAACAAAAAAAAGCGCCUGGCGUACCAUAAUUUUGUCAUUCUUGUUGAAAUUUGUAAUUUAUGAUGCAUGAGGCCACACGACCUUAAUGUUCAACGUGUCAUGCAUUAGUGAAAUAAUAGCUCAGAAAACGCAGCAAAUAUAGCUAGAUAACGGUUGCAAUCCUGACCAAACUAACGUAUAAAGUGAGCGAUGAGUCAUAUCAUUAUCUCCCGCCUGCUAACCAUCGUGUACACCAUCCGAUCCCAAAAAUGACAACUUCUAGGGAUGAACCUGGACAAGGUUUAGGGUUUAGGGAUGAAUCUGGACAAAUGAUUGUUCAGGUUCAUCCCUAGAUGUUGGUUUCUCCUUACGGGAUGGAGGGAGUAUAUGUGAUGGACACAAAAGUUACUUUCAUGAUGAAACCAAAGGGGAUUUGUUGGGGCACCUAAUAGAACAUCUGUCCAAAUGGCAUGACUCACUUAUAUCCUAAUAGGACAUCCAAGAAAAACUAACACUCUAAAGCAACCGAUGAGGAAUUGAAAGAAAAUACGUGCCACCGCAUCUAUAAAUGGACAAGCGCAAUGGAAACCCUCCUCAUCGUUCACACAGUUCAAGCAUUAUACAGCAAAAUAGAAAGAUCUAGUGUCCCGCAGCAAUGAAGAUCAUUUUCGUCUUUGCUCUCCUUGCUAUUGCUGCAUGCAGCGCCUCUGCACAGUUUGAUGUUUUAGGUCAAAGUUAUAGGCAAUAUCAGCUGCAGUCGCCUGUCCUGCUACAGCAACAGGUGCUUAGCCCAUAUAAUGAGUUCGUAAGGCAGCAGUAUGGCAUAGCGGCAAGCCCCUUCUUGCAAUCAGCUGUGUUUCAACUGAGAAACAACCAAGUCUGGCAACAGCUCGCGCUGGUGGCGCAACAAUCUCACUAUCAGGACAUUAACAUUGUUCAGGCCAUAGCGCAGCAGCUACAACUCCAGCAGUUUGGUGAUCUCUACUUUGAUCGGAAUCUGGCUCAAGCUCAAGCUCUGUUGGCUUUUAACGUGCCAUCUAGAUAUGGUAUCUACCCUAGGUACUAUGGUGCACCCAGUACCAUUACCACCCUUGGCGGUGUCUUGUAAUGAGUUUUAACAGUAUAGUGGUUCGGAAGUUAAAAAUAAGCUCAGAUAUCAUCAUAUGUGACAUGUGAAACUUUGGGUGAUAUAAAUAGAAAAAAAGUUGUCUUUCAUAUUUAAAUACCAUGCCUCUAUAAGGAUAUAUCCUAUUACGUUGUCGUGACUAAUUACCAUCAUCGGUACUCUACAAUUUUACUGUGUGCUUACAUUCGAUCCGAAGCUACUUUGUUUUUAAGAUAGAAAUGGAGCGUAUAAAGGAUGUCCGUCCUUUUAUUCCAAUAAGAACAAACACAAAGCACAUAUGGAAAAUACUAAAUCCACUACAACAAAAUCAUAGACCAUACAAAGCAGGUAAAGAUGUAGCAAUCCACAUUGAUUCUUCAUCCACUACUACAACAAGCGCAUAUGAAAGGCCGCAUAUGCAUGAUCAUUGUGAAUAUGACAUGCCCUUGUCGAGCAAACGUGUCACUUCAUGCAAAUAUGUUGUUUCAAGCGACAUCAAUAUAUGGUUACAAAAUUUUAAACAUUGGUAUAUUAAUGACUUUCAUAUAUGCAUAUUAAUUUCAAUUCAAAGACAUCUUGUUGUCCGUCAUUCCUAACAAGAGGUAGUGUACAAGGCAUUAUUUAGUUGAGCUCUCGCUCACUUUGCAUCACAGAAGCAUAACCUAGACAUAGGUAAUUCAUUAUAGAAUCAAAAACUGCAGCAGCAACAAUGAGGGUAAAAACUAGAAAGAAGGAUUUAUUAUGUUCCUUAGUUUAUUCAGCCACGAAAGAGUGACUGAAAAAAAAUGUACACGUCUUCCAAAGUGAAAAUUAUGGGAUGUCUUACUUAUGGAAUGCUCCUACACACUGAGGUUGUUCUUGCUGACCCCUCGUUUCUAUGAGAAGUAUAUUAUAACAUACCAAGUCGAUAGUUUACUGCAAACAAAAUGGAUAAUAAACCUGAUGUUUCAACAAAACUACAGGAACUCACGCAUGAUGUACCCAAAGGUAAUUGGUUCUUGACACACUACAAAUCUGUGGUAGUCCUUUUCCAUCUCGAAGACGAAUCAACGCUGUGUUUAGAAUCAGCUGUUCCCAACAUGCGAAUUGCGCACAGAAAACGGAGCGCUCCAUUAGAGCGUGAUUAAUUAAGUAUUAGCUUUUUUUUUCAAAAAUGGGUCCAUAUGAAUUUUUGAAGCAACUUUUGUAUAGAAACCUUUUGCAAAAAACACACCGUAUAGCAGUUUGAGAAGCUUGCGCGCGGAAUACGAUGGAGGUGGGUUGGGAACCCUGGAUUCCAAACACAGCCCAAGUCUAUCCAAAAUGUUUAGACCAGAAAAUACGUAACAAGUUGGUUUACAGAAAUACGAAUUAGAUCAAUCCUGCACUACAAGUAGAGUAAAGUGGUGAUUUCUCUUAAAUCUCUCGAAUGGUGAUUUAAGAAUUCAAUGCAAACCUAAUCCUUGCUAUAAUCAAAUGUUCGGUACCGCAUCAAGGGAACAAUAAAAAGCGCCUGGCGUACCAUAAUUUUGUCAUUCUUGUUGAAAUUUGUAAUUUAUGAUGCAUGAGGCCACACGACCUUAAUGUUCA
rnacentral:lncRNA from 1 species